GACGAACGCUGGCGGCGUGCCUAAUACAUGCAAGUAGAACGCUGAGAACUGGUGCUUGCACCGGUUCAAGGAGUUGCGAACGGGUGAGUAACGCGUAGGUAACCUACCUCAUAGCGGGGGAUAACUAUUGGAAACGAUAGCUAAUACCGCAUAAGAGAGACUAACGCAUGUUAGUAAUUUAAAAGGGGCAAUUGCUCCACUAUGAGAUGGACCUGCGUUGUAUUAGCUAGUUGGUGAGGUAAAGGCUCACCAAGGCGACGAUACAUAGCCGACCUGAGAGGGUGAUCGGCCACACUGGGACUGAGACACGGCCCAGACUCCUACGGGAGGCAGCAGUAGGGAAUCUUCGGCAAUGGGGGCAACCCUGACCGAGCAACGCCGCGUGAGUGAAGAAGGUUUUCGGAUCGUAAAGCUCUGUUGUUAGAGAAGAAUGAUGGUGGGAGUGGAAAAUCCACCAAGUGACGGUAACUAACCAGAAAGGGACGGCUAACUACGUGCCAGCAGCCGCGGUAAUACGUAGGUCCCGAGCGUUGUCCGGAUUUAUUGGGCGUAAAGCGAGCGCAGGCGGUUUUUUAAGUCUGAAGUUAAAGGCAUUGGCUCAACCAAUGUACGCUUUGGAAACUGGAGAACUUGAGUGCAGAAGGGGAGAGUGGAAUUCCAUGUGUAGCGGUGAAAUGCGUAGAUAUAUGGAGGAACACCGGUGGCGAAAGCGGCUCUCUGGUCUGUAACUGACGCUGAGGCUCGAAAGCGUGGGGAGCAAACAGG
rnacentral:rRNA from 1 species